UCUGUCUCUCUCUUUCUCCUCAGAUCUCCAGGCUCAAAGCGUCAGUCCACCAGCUGAAUACUCAGUCAGACUGGUGAAUGGGACCACUUCCUGUUCUGGGACAGUGGAAGUCUUCUAUGAAGGAGAGUGGACAGGUCUAUGUUUUAGUUGGUUGUGGGACAUGAUGGGAGAGACGUGGUUGUGGGACAUGAGACAGGUUAAGGUUGUGUGUAGAGAGCUGAAUUGUGGGAAUCCUGUAUCUGAAUCUAGAGGACCUCUGAUUGAAGAUGGAAGAGGAGUCAGACUAUUUGGAGGAGUAACGAUGUUGAGAUGUAGUGGAGAUGAGUCUUCUAUUAGGCAGUGUGGCAUCAGAGGAGGACCUGGUUUCUGUGAUGGUGAAUAUUAUCAUCAUGUGACCUGUUCAGAGUCUGUGCGGCUUGUGGAUGGAGCUGGUCUCUGCUCUGGGAGAGUGGAG